rnacentral:rRNA from 1 species
UACGUAGGGUGCGAGCGUUGUCCGGAUUUAUUGGGCGUAAAGAGCUUGUAGGCGGCUCGUCACGUCGGGUGUGAAAACUCGCGGCUCAACCGCGAGCCUGCACCCGAUACGGGCGGGCUGGAGUUCGGCAGGGGAGACUGGAAUUCCUGGUGUAGCGGUGGAAUGCGCAGAUAUCAGGAGGAACACCGGUGGCGAAGGCGGGGUCUCUGGGCCGAUACUGACGCUGAGAAGCGAAAGCGUGGGGAGCGAACAGG